rnacentral:ncRNA from 1 species
AGAAAAUUUUAUUCUGGUUUGAUAAUUGGAUUAAUUUUCAUUUUACAUGUAAGUUUUAUUAAAUAAUUUUUAGGCAGUAUUUUAUUUUAUUAAUUAAGGAAGUUUUGAUUUAGUGAAAAAUUUUAGUUUUAACAAAGCUUGUGCCAGCAGUUGCGGUUAUACUAGUAAUACGAUUCAAUUUUUUCUUUAGACAAUUAGGAGGUGAGUUUAGAAUUAUUUUUUGUUGAUUUUUUAAGGUGAAAUUUAAAGAUUAAUUUUUUAAUUUUAUUUAAUUUGAUUUUGUUAUAUUUUUGUUUUAAACUAGGAUUAGAUACCCUAUUAUUUUAAAUUUAAAUUUUCUUUUGAUUAGUAUUAGUUAUGUUCUUGAAAAUUAAAGAUUUUGGCGGUAUUUUAUAUGUUCAGAGGAACCUGUUUUAUAAUCGAUAGUCCACGAUAAGGUUAACUUAAUUUACUAGUUUGUAUAUCGUCGUUUGGAAUAUUUCAUUAGAUUAAGAAUGUUCAUGAAACUUUAUUUUGUGUUAGGUCAGAUCAAGGUGCAGUUUAUAAUUAAGGAAUGAUGGGUUACAAUAAAUUUAUUUUUGGUUUAUUCUAUUGGUGUAGGAUAAUAAAUUGGAUUUGUAAGUAAUUUUAUUUAUUUAUUAAGGUGAUUUUAUCCCUAAAAUAUGCACAUAUCGCCCGUCGCUUUCAUGUAAAAUGAAAUAAGUCGUAACAAAGUAGGUGUACUGGAAAGUGUACCUGGAUUGAU